rnacentral:tRNA from 1 species
GCCUGCUUAGCGAAGAGGUUAACGCGUUGGUCUUGUAAACCAAAGAUCAUCAGUUCAAAUCUGAUAGUAGGCA